rnacentral:rRNA from 1 species
AGGGCACCACCAGGAGUGGAGCCUGCGGCUUAAUUUGACUCAACACGGGAAAACUUACCUGGUCCUGACACUAGAAGGAUUGACAGAUUGAUAGCUCUUUCUUGAUUUGGUGGAUGGUGGUGCAUGGCCGUUCUUAGUUGGUGGAGUGAUUUGUCUGGUUAAUUCCGAUAACGAACGAGACUCUAGCCUAUUAAAUAACACACAGAAUCUUGUCUUCUGUGGCGUUUCUUAAUGAGAUCAAGUGUGUUUAACGCUUUGAAACAGAGCAAUAACAGGUCUGUGAUGCCCUUAGAUGUUCGGGGCCGCACGCGCGCUACAUUGAGAGACAAAGUGAGCUUUCUAGUCUUUAAUAAGGCUAGUAAUCUUUGAAUGUUUUUCUUAAUGGGGAUAGGGGAUUGCAAUUGUGCCCCUUGAACGAGGAAUUCCCAGUAAGUGCUAGUCAUUAGCUAGUACUGAUUACGUCCCUGCCCUUUGUACACACCGCCCGUCGCUACUACCGAUUGAAUGGUUUAGUGAGAU